rnacentral:rRNA from 1 species
UACGUAGGGCGCAAGCGUUGUCCGGAAUUAUUGGGCGUAAAGAGCUCGUAGGUGGUUUGCUGCGUCCGCUGUGAAAACCCAAGGCUUAACCUUGGGCUUGCAGUGGAUACGGGCAGACUAGAGGUAGGUAGGGGAGAAUGGAAUUCCCGGUGUAGCGGUGAAAUGCGCAGAUAUCGGGAGGAACACCGGUGGCGAAGGCGGUUCUCUGGGACGGUACUGACGCUGAGACGCGAAAGCGUGGGGAGCGAACAGG